UGGGGAAUUUUGGACAAUGGGGGAAACCCUGAUCCAGCCAUCCCGCGUGUGCGAUGAAGGCCUUCGGGUUGUAAAGCACUUUUGGCAGGAAAGAAACGUCAUGGGUUAAUACCCCGUGAAACUGACGGUACCUGCAGAAUAAGCACCGGCUAACUACGUGCCAGCAGCCGCGGUAAUACGUAGGGUGCAAGCGUUAAUCGGAAUUACUGGGCGUAAAGCGUGCGCAGGCGGUUCGGAAAGAAAGAUGUGAAAUCCCAGAGCUCAACUUUGGAACUGCAUUUUUAACUACCAGGCUAGAGUGUGUCAGAGGGAGGUGGAAUUCCGCGUGUAGCAGUGAAAUGCGUAGAUAUGCGGAGGAACACCGAAGGCGAAGGCAGCCUCCUGGGAUAACACUGACGCUCAUGCACGAAAGCGUCGGGAGCAAACAGG
rnacentral:rRNA from 1 species